AGGUCAAGCUAGAAAGGGCGUACGGUGGAUGCCUAGGCGCUAAGGGCCGACGAAGGACGUGGUAAGCUGCGAAAAGCCACGGGUAGCCGCAAACAGGCAAAGAUCCGUGGAUAUCCGAAUGGGGCAACCCGGUACAGAAAACCUGUACCAUCCUCCACUGAACACAUAGGUGGAGGAAGGGCACCCGGGGAACUGAAACAUCUAAGUACCCGGAGGAAAAGAAAACAAAAGUGAUCCCCCAAGUAGCGGCGAGCGAACAGGGGCCAGCCUAAACCAACCCAGCUUGCUGGAUUGGGGUUGCGGGACUCUCAAAAGGACUACUUGCUUUAGUCGAAGCGGACUGGAACGUCCGGCCACAGAAGGUAACAGCCCUGUAGACAAAAAGGCAAAGCAGCUGUGAGAGCAUCCCAAGUACCGCGGGACACGAGAAACCCUGCGGGAAUCCGGGAGGACCACCUCCCAAGGCUAAAUACCCUUAGCGACCGAUAGCGGAUAGUACCGUGAGGGAAAGGUGAAAAGCACCCCGGGAGGGGAGUGAAAUAGAACCUGAAACCGUAUGCCUACAAACAGUCGAAGUCCUAUUAAUGGAUGACGGCGUACUUUUUGUAGAACGGACCGGCGAGUUACAUCCGGCGGGCAAGGUUAAGGCCUAAAGGGCCGAAGCCGCAGCGAAAGCAAGUCUUAACAGGGCGCAAUAGUCCGUCUGAGUAGACCCGAAACCGGGUGAUCUACCCAUGUCCAGAGUGAAGCGCGAGUAAAAUCGCGUGAAGGCUCGAACCAACCGUCGUUGAAAAGGCGGUGGAUGAGGUGUGGGUAGGGGUGAAAUGCCAAUCGAACCCGGAAAUAGCUGGUUCUCCCCGAAAUAGCUUUAGGGCUAGCCUCAAGGAAUGAUAUUCGGAGGUAGAGCACUGACUGGGCUAGGGGCCUUCACCGGUUACCGAACUCAAUCAAACUCCGAAUGCCGAAUAUUUCACCUUGGGAGUCAGACUGCGAGUGCAAAGAUCCGUAGUCGAAAGGGAAACAGCCCAGACCGCCGGCUAAGGUCCCCAAACUGUGCUAAGUGGUAAAGGAUGUGGGGUUGCACAGACAACCAGGAUGUUGGCUUAGAAGCAGCCACCAUUUUAAGAGUGCGUAAUAGCUCACUGGUCAAGUGACCCUGCGCCGAAAAUGUAACGGGGCUCAAGCACAGUACCGAAGCCGCGGAUUUCUUUUAGAAAUGGUAGGGGAGCGUUCCCAUUGGAUUGAAGCUAUACCGCAAGGAGUAGUGGACUGGUGGGAAGUGAGAAUGCCGGUAUAAGUAAACGAUAAGGCAGGUGAGAAUCCUGCCCGCCGAAAGCCUAAGGAUUCCUGGGGAAGGCUCGUCCGCCCAGGGUAAGCCGGGACCUAAGCCGAGGCCGAAAGGCGUAGGCGAUGGACAAUCGGUUGAUAAUCCGAUGCCACCAACAUACCACUUGAGUGAUGGGGUGACGCAGCAGGGUAGGCCAAGCGCGCGGUUGGAAAAGCGCGUCCAAGCCCGUAGGGCGCCGGAUAGGCAAAUCCGUCCGGCAUAAAAGCCUGAGAGGUAAUGGGGAGGGAAAACAAGUACCGAAGUGGCUGAACCCAAACUGCCAAGAAAAACCUCUAGCGAGGAAUGAUGGUGCCCGUACCGCAAACCGACACAGGUAGGCGGGGUGAGAAUCCUAAGGCGCGCGAGAGAACCCUCGUUAAGGAACUCGGCAAAAUGACCCCGUAACUUCGGGAGAAGGGGUGCCUCAUUAGCGUGAAAUUAUAUACUAAUGGAGCGUGAAGAGGUUGCAGAGAAAAGGCCCAAGCGACUGUUUACCAAAAACACAGGUCCCUGCUAAAUCGGUAAGAUGAAGUAUAGGGGCUGACGCCUGCCCGGUGCCGGAAGGUUAAGGGGAAAUGUUAGCUUAGGCGAAGCAUAGAACCGAAGCCCCGGUAAACGGCGGCCGUAACUAUAACGGUCCUAAGGUAGCGAAAUUCCUUGUCGGGUAAGUUCCGACCCGCACGAAAGGCGUAACGACUUGGGCGCUGUCUCAACGAGGGACUCGGUGAAAUUGUAAUGCCGGUAAAGAUGCCGGCUACCUGCGGUAGGACAGAAAGACCCCGUGGAGCUUUACUGUAGCCUGACAUUGGGUUUUGGUAUUGCAUGUACAGGAUAGGUGGGAGGCAGAGAAACUGUAGCGCAAGCUGUAGUGGAGUCACCCUUGGGAUACCACCCUUGCAGUACCGGAAUUCUAACCGAGAACCGUGAAACCGGUUCCGGGACAGUAUCAGGUGGGCAGUUUGACUGGGGCGGUCGCCUCCCAAAAAGUAACGGAGGCGCCCAAAGGUUCCCUCAGCGCGGUUGGAAAUCGCGCGUAAGAGUGUAAAGGCACAAGGGAGCUUGACAGCGAGACAUACAGGUCGAGCUGGGACGAAAGUCGGGCUUAGUGAUCCGGCGGUGCUGCGUGGAAAGGCCGUCGCUCAACGGAUAAAAGCUACCCCGGGGAUAACAGGCUUAUCUCCCCCAAGAGUCCACAUCGACGGGGAGGUUUGGCACCUCGAUGUCGGCUCAUCGCAUCCUGGGGCUGAAGUAGGUCCCAAGGGUUGGGCUGUUCGCCCAUUAAAGCGGUACGUGAGCUGGGUUCAGAACGUCGUGAGACAGUUCGGUCCCUAUCCACCGCAGGCGCAGGAAACUUGAGAGGAGCUGUCCCUAGUACGAGAGGACCGGGAUGGACAGACCGCUGGUGUACCAGUUGUUCCGCCAGGAGCACAGCUGGGUAUCCAUGUCUGGAUGGGAUAAGCGCUGAAGGCAUCUAAGCGCGAAGCCCACCUCAAGAUAAGGUUUCCCAUCCGG
rnacentral:rRNA from 1 species